rnacentral:rRNA from 1 species
UACAGAGGGGGCAAGCGUUAUUCGGAAUUAUUGGGCGUAAAGGGCGCGUAGGCGGCUUGGCAAGUGGAUGGUGAAAUCCCUCGGCUUAACCGAGGAACUGCCGUCCAAACUGCUUCGCUUGAGACCGGGAGAGGUGAGUGGAAUUCCCAGUGUAGCGGUGAAAUGCGUAGAUAUUGGGAGGAACACCAGUGGCGAAGGCGGCUCACUGGACCGGUACUGACGCUGAUGCGCGAAAGCGUGGGGGAGCAAACGGGG